rnacentral:rRNA from 1 species
UCAAUCUCGUGCGGCUGAGAGCCGCCUGUCCCUCUAAGAAGAAAUGAUAUCGCCGGUAGCACAUGAUACCGGGAUCGCCUAUUUAGUAGGCUAGAGUCUCGUUCGUUAU